rnacentral:rRNA from 1 species
GCGAAGCCCGGGCUAAAGACGUGCUGGCAGCGGGGGUAAGACGUAGGGGGCUAGCGUUAUCCGGAAUUACUGGGUUUAAAGGGUGCGUAGGCGGGGAUACAAGUAAGGUGGUAAAUGCCGGAGCUCAACUGCGGCAUUGCGCUUGAAACUGUGUUGCUUGAGUAUUUCAGGGGUGUGGGGAACUGCCAGUGGAGCGGUGAAAUGUGUUGAUAUUGGCAGGAACACCGGAGGCGAAAGCGCCACACUGACGCUGAGGCACGAAAGCGUGGGGAGCAAACAGGAUUAGAUACCCGGGUAGUC